ACUUGGGUCCUGCGCGGCGGGAGCCUGUGAAUCGUGUCAGGUCCGGAAGGAAGCAGCACUAAGCGGGAAUUCCCGGGUGCCGCAGGGUUGCCUGGGUGUG
rnacentral:SRP_RNA from 1 species